UACAGAGGCCCCGAGCGUUAGGCGGAAUCACUGGGCUUAAAGCGCGUGUAGGCGGACUGGUAAGUACCUUGUGAAAUCCCACAGCUCAACUGUGGAACUGCUGGGUAUACUGCCGGUCUUGAGGCAUCCAGGGGCGAGCGGAACAAACGGUGGAGCGGUGAAAUGCGUAGAUAUCGUUUGGAACGCCAAUGGUGAAAACAGCUCGCUGGGGAUGAUCUGACGCUGAGACGCGAAAGCCAGGGGAGCAAACGGG
rnacentral:rRNA from 1 species